AAAGAGAGUCAUAGGGGUUAUGUGGUUGGCUUGAAACCGACUGUAGGAGGUUCAAUUCCUUCCUUUCUUG
rnacentral:tRNA from 3 species